rnacentral:rRNA from 1 species
CGAAGGGGCGUAGCGUUGUCUCGGAAGUGACUGGGCGGUAAAGGGACGGCGUAGGCGGUAUGGACAGUCAGGUGUGAAAUUACCCGGGCCGUUAACCUUGGGGGACGUGCAUUUGUAUAACGUUCAAACUAGAGUGUGGAAGAGGGUCGUGGAAUUCCCAGUGUAGAGGUGAAAUUCGUAGAUAUUGGGAGAACACCGGUGGCGAAGGCGGCGACCUGGUCCAUUACUGACGCUGAGGCGCGAAAGCGUGGGGAGCAAACAGGGAUU